AUUGAACGCUGGCGGCAUGCUUUACACAUGCGAGUCGAACGGUAACAGGGAGCUUGCUCCGCUGACGAGUGGCGAACGGGUGAGUAAUGCGUCGGAACGUGCCGAGUAGUGGGGGAUAACGCAUCGAAAGGUGUGCUAAUACCGCAUACGAACUGAGGUUGAAAGUGGGGGACCUUCGGGCCUCACGCUAUUCGAGCGGCCGACGUCUGAUUAGCUAGUUGGUGAGGUAAAGGCUCACCAAGGCGACGAUCAGUAGCGGGUCUGAGAGGAUGAGCACCCACACUGGGACUGAGACACGGCCCAGACUCCUACGGGAGGCAGCAGUGGGGAAUAUUGGACAACGUGCGACAGCCUGAUCCAGCCAUGCCGCGUGUGUGAAGAAGGUCUUCGGAUUGUAAAGCACUUUAAGUUGGGAGGAAGGGUUGUAGAUUAAUACUCUGCAAUUUUGACGUUACCGACAGAAUAAGCACCGGCUAACUCUGUGCCAGCAGCCGCCGCAGUAA
rnacentral:rRNA from 1 species